UGGGGAAUAUUGCACAAUGGGGGAAACCCUGAUGCAGCGACGCCGCGUGAGCGAAGAAGGCUUUCGAGUCGUAAAGCUCUGUCCUAGGAGAAGAUAAUGACGGUAUCAUAGGAGGAAGCACUGGCUAAAUACGUGCCAGCAGCCGCGGUAAUAAGUAUGGGGCGAGCGUUGUCCGGAAUUAUUGGGCGUAAAGGGUACGUAGGUGGUUUUUUAAGUCAGGUGUCAAAGCGUGGAGCUUAACUCCAUUAAGCACUUGAAACUGAAAGACUUGAGUGAAGGAGAGGAAAGUGGAAUUCCUAGUGUAGCGAUGAAAUGCGUAGAUAUUAGGAGGAAUACCGGUGGCGAAGGCGACUUUCUGGACUUUUACUGACGCUGAGGAACGAAAGCGUGGGUAGCAAACAGG
rnacentral:rRNA from 1 species